ensembl:lncRNA
AUCAGAAUGGCCUUGUGAUCCGCAGCCUCCUCGCGGCGCGGCAGGCUCUCGCUCCGCGCUCCCGCCCCGCCUCCCGCGAGUCGGUGAGAUGGUGAAAUCAAUGUUCUGGAAAAAAAGAGCUUUUCAGCAAGUCCAAGUCUUUUGAGUCAUCACAACCCGGAUGUAAACACACCAGUCCUGCCUUCUGCACACAUGUGACCAGAAUGCUGCCAGCUAAUUUUAACCCCACCAAAGUACUGCGGAAAAAAAACAAAAAACAACAACAACCGAAAAAACAAAACACCAAACUGUCUUGCAUCUGGCGAGAGAAAUGCUGUGGGCUGGAUAAAAGCUUUUUCAGCUUGUGUUCCUUCCUGU